rnacentral:rRNA from 1 species
GAUCCUGGCUCAGGAUGAACGCUGGCGGCGUGCCUAAUACAUGCAAGUCGAGCGAGGUUCUUCGGAACCUAGCGGCGGACGGGUGAGUAACACGUGGGUAACCUGCCUGUAAGACUGGGAUAACUUCGGGAAACCGAAGCUAAUACCGGAUACUUUCGAGCAUCGCAUGAUGCUUGAUGGAAAGACGGCUUCGGCUGUCACUUACAGAUGGACCCGCGUCGCAUUAGCUAGUUGGUGAGGUAACGGCUCACCAAGGCGACGAUGCGUAGCCGACCUGAGAGGGUGAUCGGCCACACUGGGACUGAGACACGGCCCAGACUCCUACGGGAGGCAGCAGUAGGGAAUCUUCGGCAAUGGGCGAAAGCCUGACCGAGCAACGCCGCGUGAGCGAUGAAGGCCUUCGGGUCGUAAAGCUCUGUUGUUAAGGAAGAACAAGUACGAGAGUAACUGCUCGUACCUUGACGGUACUUAACGAGAAAGCCACGGCUAACUACGUGCCAGCAGCCGCGGUAAUACGUAGGUGGCAAGCGUUAUCCGGAAUUAUUGGGCGUAAAGCGCGCGCAGGCGGUUUCUUAAGUCUGAUGUGAAAGCCCACGGCUCAACCGUGGAGGGUCAUUGGAAACUGGGAAACUUGAGUGCAGAAGAGGAAAGCGGAAUUCCACGUGUAGCGGUGAAAUGCGUAGAGAUGUGGAGGAACACCAGUGGCGAAGGCGGCUUUCUGGUCUGUAACUACGCUAGGCGCAAAGC